AUGGGGGCAGUCCAUCGUUCCCACCUCUCUCUGCAUCCAGUCACAGGCAUCAUCAGUUCAGGGACCGUAUUUCUAACCACUACGCCUCUCCCAUCCNGCAGGCUCAGAAGAAGACGCUUUUCUCUUCCCACCGGGGCGAGAGCUGAGCAAGAAUCCCAGCCCCACGCUGCCCAGCCCCACAGGCAAACAGCGUCUGAAACACGCCUGGACCCAAACAGAAGACNUUGGCCUGCAGGCCGACGGGCCACNAGAGUUUCAAGCUGGGAUCCCUGGCCAGAGGGAAAGUCAAAUGCAGCUGCUGGAACAGCUGGAAAAGGAACGGGACCAACUCCUACAAGCCAACCNGGACCUGCAGAGCCGCAACUCACAGCUGGAGGCAGAGAACAGCUGGCUGCUGAGGAUAAAUACAGGAAGCCUCCCUACACUUUCCUGUUCAAACGCCUGGUCUACCUGCAACGCCCCAGUGUCCCUAAAGCCAAACUGAGCAAGCUGCGGGAAGUGGAACGCUUCAAGCGAUGGAAGAAAAAUGACUUAUUUAUUGGAAAAAAACCUCCUGUCAGCUCAAGCCAACUGGUUUGUUGAAAGCUGGNCCUUGGUUUCUGUAAGGCACCUUUCUGCAGGAAGAUCUGUUAACCAGCAAGACGCUGUGUAAAGGAACUCUGCCCUGAUUUAUCGGGUGGGGUGAGUGUUGAGAAAGAAAAGGUGACCAGCUGGUUAGAAGCAGGAAAAGAAAGUUCUUGGGAAAGGCAAAGAUGAACACUAAGGGCUGGAGAACAAGGCAAGGAGACAUCAGUUUGGGACAUUGCCAACAUCUCUCAUUCAUUCUGAAAAGAAUGCACGUUUGCUAAAUAUAACAGUUUAACAGAAAAAAACAUCAUAAACGAAAGCUGGAAAAAAAAUACACAAAUAUGCAUACAUAUUCUCGCACACAUUAUUUCUGUUUUUGUGGUUUUUAAACUUCUGUUCAUGGGUCUUUAGAGACUGUUAAAUAAACAGAACCCAAGUCUAGAUGUGAAUCCA
rnacentral:lncRNA from 1 species